CAUUUAUUGUUUCCUUUCUUCUUUUCUCUUUCAUUAUUUGAAUGAAAGGCUUGUUGGAGGCCUAAUGUUGACAACACAUCCGACUGGAGGUGCUCUCAUUGCAACAGGAAUAUGUCGGGGGCGGGAGCGGGGUUAGGGACUGGCUCCAGCCCCAUGCCCACUGCUGUCUCACCCCUUGGAGCGCCAAGGAUCCUGGGCACUGCAGUUGGAGAAUCACCACAUGCAUCAUUUUUGGGAAGACAUCUUCCACUUCAGGUCACAGCAAACUAUAAAAUGCUUUUGCCAGAAUAUGUAGAUACUGGAGGGAAACCUUCUAAGCCAGAGACAGGAGUUGCUGGACCAAGAACACAUCUCUUAGUUUGGAAACACUCUAGACUCAAGAUAUCUCUCCCUCAUUUUUAAAGACUAGCAAUUCAUGCUUGAGAUUUGCAGCCCCUAGCUUGAUGGUCAAGACCUUAGAUUUCUUUUCCCUCCCAGAGGAAUCUCUAGCAUCUCAUAAAUCAUGAUUCUGU
rnacentral:lncRNA from 1 species